GUGCUCUCUUCGGCAGCACAUACACUAAAAUUGGAACAACAUAGGAGCUAAGCGUGGCCCCUGCACAAGGCGGACACGCACGUUCGUGAAGCAUUCCAUAUUUUU